ACUUUGCAAUGUGCGAAAGCACGACAAGGUUAAUCCGAGUGGUUUCUGCUAAAGGAACCUUUUGUCAGUCCUAGAAACACUGGUGAAUAAGGGGUGGGCAAGUUCUGGUGUCAGCCGCCGCGGUAAAACCAGCACCUCAAGUGGUCAGGAUGAUUAUUGGGCCUAAAGCAUCCGUAGCCUGCUUUGUCAGUUUUCGGUUAAAUCCAUACGCUCAACGUAUGGGCUGCCGGGAAUACUGCAAAGCUAGGGAGUGGGAGAGGUAGACGGUACUCGGUAGGAAGGGGUAAAAUCCUUUGAUCUAUUGAUGACCACCUGUGGCGAAGGCGGUCUACCAGAACACGUCCGACGGUGAGGGAUGAAAGCUGGGGGAGCAAACC
rnacentral:rRNA from 1 species